AUCACAACUGGAGAGAAAUCUGCUGGAAUGUAAUGUAAAAGUGCUGUCUAAAAUGUAUAAGACAUUAUUGGAAUGGGACACAAAGGAUGAGGAAGUAAAUUCCUCAAUGAUACAUGGGCAAUAGAUGGUUCGAAUCCUCAGGAUGGGGUGAGCUCCCGUUGCUCGGUCCCUACUCCUGCCAACCUAGCAGUUCGAAAGCACGUCAAAGUGCAAGUAGAUAAAUAGGUACUGCUCUGGCAGGAAGGUAAACGGCGUUUCUGUGUGCUGUUCUGGUUCGCCAGAAGCGGCUUAGUCAUGAUCCGGAAGCUGUAUGCCGGCUCCCUCGGCCAAUAAAGCGAGAUGAGCGCUGCAACCCCAGAGUCGGUCACGACUGGACCUAAUGGUCAGGUGUCCCUUUACCUUUACCUUUACCACUGUAGUUUAUUGCAGACACAAGUAAACUUUAACUGCAUUCAAAAGGUUGUUACUCUUUACCUUCUUAGUCUUAUUUUUAUCCUAUCUCUAACUUUUCUACCUCCCUUCACACAAGAACCAACUGCACUAACUGUCUCUCUAAUUCCAACUGCCUGCCAACUGCUUUUCCAACUGCCUUUCCCAACCAACCAACCCACUAAAACCAACCAACUACCCACACCCAAACCUCAGGCUAAGCCCUUUUAUAAACAGGUAGGCUCUGCCUCCGGCUUUCCUAUUGGUCUACAUAUUAACCCUUUCUCUCCCCCUGUACAGACAUUUUCAAACAAACGGGCAAAUGCCACACCAGCCACCGCUCCUGCUGGGAGCUCGCUGAGCUGACAGGGUAGACGCAGUGACCAGCCGGUGACCUCAAUGAGGAGCGGCUGCCACAAGGACACAGUGAUGUCCGCCUGGAGCCUCCUGUGCGAUGCUGAUAAGCCAGGUGAAGUUGUGGGGGACUGUGGAAACAACUCAGAGGUUAAUAAGAAGAAAAACGAUAA